rnacentral:tRNA from 4 species
GCUGGUGUAGCUCAGUCGGUAGAGCAGCUGAUUUGUAAUCAGCCGGUCGCGGGUUCGAAUCCUGUCACCAGCUCCA